AACGAACGCUGGCGGCAUGCCUAACACAUGCAAGUCGAACGAGACCUCCGCGUUCAGUGGCGCACGGGUGGGUAACGGGUGGGAACAUGCCCUUAGGAUCUGAAUAACUCUCUGAAAGGGGUUCUAAUACCGGAUAAUGUUUCCGGACCAAAGAUUCUUCGGCUUGGGGUGGGCCGGCGUUGUUUUAGCGAGUUGGUAGGGUAUACGACUACCAAGCCGAGGAGCCAUAGCUGGUCUGAGAGGGUGAUCAGCCACACUGGGACUGAGACACGGCCCAGACUCCUAGGAGAAGUGGCGAUGGUGGAUAUUGGAGAGUGGGCGAAAGCCUGAUCCGGCAAGGCCGGGAGAGUGGUGAAGGCGUUAGAGUUGGAAUGCGCUUUUGCCCAGGAUGUGAAUGACGGUAGCGGGUAAAUAAGCUCCGGCUAACUCCGUG
rnacentral:rRNA from 1 species